CAUUAAUAGCAGAAAGUGCAUAUUCAUGCUUUUGCUGUGAGGCAACGUACCCUGAUAUCUGCCUCUCUUCUCAUUUUCACCUUCCCCUCUAAAUUGCUCACAUUUUUCUCAUUUGUACAUUCCUGAUGAGUAAAGCAAAUUUAUUUCACCUGAGAGCAAGGAGGGAGGUGUCCAGUGAUAAGGCAAGAAUUUGAUGAGUAGCUGUGCAGUUUUUUCCUUUGAAAGCUCCUCACUCAACUUGUCCACCCUUUGGUGAUUAUUUCCUUUGGAAAUAGUUUUCUUAAAAACUACUCGGAUCUUAAGAACUUCACAUGCAGAGGACUGCUUUUGGGGUCCAGGAGUUUGAAACAGAAUAAGAUACUACAUUAGCCAGUGACCUGAAAUAAAAGCAAAUGGAACUCAGAAGAGCUUGCAGGGGUCAGUCAGUCCACGAUCUCCCUUACAGCCAGCUCCGUUUUACCCAGGCCAUUACUAGAAAAUGUCAGUUUGCCUUGUUCUUAAGAACAUCUCCUUAAAAACAUCCUCAAUCCUGCUACCUCAAGAAGCCAACUGUUCUGUUUCUCUGUCUUCUAGUAAGAUUUUUUGCUGGAAGUUAAGGGACUGCUCCUGCACUUCUCAAAGACAUAGCAAAGAUUCCCUGGAAGAAGAGUUUAUAAAACAAGAAAGCCAUAGAGAAGAUGAUGAGAGAGAAAGGGCAGAAGUGGAGCAGAAGAAGGAGAAAACUCACCAGUGAGAUUGCACAGAUGUUCAGCAGGGAAGAGAGCAUUGCCUGGUGGAAGGAAGCAGCUAUUAAAUGGAAAAUAAAUAACUGUCAAGCCCUGUUGUUGUGGAAGAAAGAAGAGGGCAUAGGGAGAGGACUGCAUUUGGAUUGUCUGUUUUGCAUCCAGUAUGCAGCUGUGAUAGAACAAGAGUCAUGGGUUAAAGCAGAGGACUUGUUCAGUUCAUCUUGGUUCAUGCUCAAACUCUCACUAGAGAAGAGUGGUGAGUCAUAUACAGUGGUCCACGCAUGGGAUGCUAACUUCAGGAGACAGUUGCCCAGCCAUGGAAGGUACCUAGGGCACUGUGCCUCUUCCCUAAGGAAUCAGACUAGUUGCUGCAUUUAUUGCUUCUGGGCCUGCCAUGGAGAUUUCCUGUCUUCCAAAUUUCCUUUUGCUUAACUGUUUCCUUGUUUUUAACUCACAUUUCUGUCUGCGAGGGGAAUAUAAUGUCCACUUUUUGGAAUGGAAAACUUCAGGAAUUCUUUAGAAUAUAUACAGACAUAUAUUAACCAUCCCUGUACACACAGACAUAUAUGCAAGUAUUGGCGAUCAGUCCCAUAACCACUCCUGUCAAUUCAUUCCAGAAGUUAAGUACUGUCUUUAUGGAACUGCCUGGGAAAUAUAAACAAAUAAAGAGAAUCUCAAUGGCCCUCCAGAUGCCUUCUCAAGGAAUUGUAGCAGUGGGGAGAAACUCUUUACACAGCUGACAAAAUAAAUGAUCCAGGGGUGAGAGAUACACGCUGAGUUCUUACUUACAUCUGGGAGAGUAAUGUGUGCUGUGAGGCCCACACACUGCAUCCCAGUGUCUAUUCUGAGGGUAAAGACUUACAUGGUGUUGGGAUAGCCCUUUGUUUUCUCUCAGGCUGGAGAGAGUAUCUUGGGAAAAGAGAGAACUAAGUCAGGGCAAACCUCCCCUCAGCUUCUUCCAAACUCUUUACAAAACAAGUGGGAAAAUUUUGAAUCACAUUAAGGUAAAAAAUAUUUAGUUGUACAUGGAAAAAAAUGAUUUCUUGUGACCCAUGGAUUUUUUUCCAAUACAGGAGGGAAAAGACUUGAUAACAGCUCUCAGGAGGUUUGAGCAUCUCUGUGGUAAUGUCCCUGAAAAUGUGUAAUGUCAACCAGGAGUGAAAAUCUCUGCAGGGAGGAAGGAAAACACAGUGUCUUUGGUUCACAUCACUCCAUGGAGAGGAGGCUCUUGAUGCACAACGAAGCCCUUAUAUAUGUCAGUGACCGAAGGAAAGCUGAAGACUAAAGGGGGUGGAGGAAAAGUGCAUUAAAAUAAUAAAAAAUGUGUUAUGAAAUUUCAGUCAAAUGUAUGUAAAUCUUUAUUAAUUAAAGGACUUCUCAACAUGAUAAUGUGGCCAUGUAUUUCUUGGCAUUUUCACAAAUGAGGAAGCGCAGCUUCCUGCACUGGCAAUUGAUCUGCUUCCCAGUGUUAACAUUAGCAUACUUGAGACUUUACAGCUGUUAACUUGAUGACUUUACAAUUGAUAUGAAACGUUUUCCAUACUGUCUUAAUCUUGUAAUCCAGAUUCUGCCACCUUUGGUCAUCUUGCAUGGCAUCAGUUUAAUAAAUAGGGUUGUUAUUCU
rnacentral:lncRNA from 1 species